GGGUUGUGAGGUUAAGCGACUAAGCGUACACGGUGGAUGCCUAGGCAGUCAGAGGCGAUGAAGGGCGUGCUAAUCUGCGAAAAGCGUCGGUAAGCUGAUAUGAAGCGUUAUAACCGACGAUACCCGAAUGGGGAAACCCAGUGCAAUACGUUGCACUAUCGUUAGAUGAAUACAUAGUCUAACGAGGCGAACCGGGGGAACUGAAACAUCUAAGUACCCCGAGGAAAAGAAAUCAACCGAGAUUCCCCCAGUAGCGGCGAGCGAACGGGGAGGAGCCCAGAGUCUGAAUCAGUUUGUGUGUUAGUGGAAGCGUCUGGAAAGUCGCACGGUACAGGGUGAUAGUCCCGUACACCAAAAUGCACAGGCUGUGAACUCGAUGAGUAGGGCGGGACACGUGACAUCCUGUCUGAAUAUGGGGGGACCAUCCUCCAAGGCUAAAUACUCCUGACUGACCGAUAGUGAACCAGUACCGUGAGGGAAAGGCGAAAAGAACCCCGGCGAGGGGAGUGAAAUAGAACCUGAAACCGUGUACGUACAAGCAGUGGGAGCACCUUCGUGGUGUGACUGCGUACCUUUUGUAUAAUGGGUCAGCGACUUAUAUUUUGUAGCAAGGUUAACCGAAUAGGGGAGCCGUAGGGAAACCGAGUCUUAACUGGGCGUCUAGUUGCAAGGUAUAGACCCGAAACCCGGUGAUCUAGCCAUGGGCAGGUUGAAGGUUGGGUAACACUAACUGGAGGACCGAACCGACUAAUGUUGAAAAAUUAGCGGAUGACUUGUGGCUGGGGGUGAAAGGCCAAUCAAACCGGGAGAUAGCUGGUUCUCCCCGAAAGCUAUUUAGGUAGCGCCUCGUGAACUCAUCUUCGGGGGUAGAGCACUGUUUCGGCUAGGGGGCCAUCCCGGCUUACCAAACCGAUGCAAACUCCGAAUACCGAAGAAUGUUAUCACGGGAGACACACGGCGGGUGCUAACGUCCGUCGUGAAGAGGGAAACAACCCAGACCGCCAGCUAAGGUCCCAAAGUCAUGGUUAAGUGGGAAACGAUGUGGGAAGGCACAGACAGCCAGGAUGUUGGCUUAGAAGCAGCCAUCAUUUAAAGAAAGCGUAAUAGCUCACUGGUCGAGUCGGCCUGCGCGGAAGAUAUAACGGGGCUAAACCAUGCACCGAAGCUGCGGCAGCGACACUUAGGUGUUGUUGGGUAGGGGAGCGUUCUGUAAGCCGUUGAAGGUGACCUGUGAGGGUUGCUGGAGGUAUCAGAAGUGCGAAUGCUGACAUAAGUAACGAUAAUGCGGGUGAAAAACCCGCACGCCGGAAGACCAAGGGUUCCUGUCCAACGUUAAUCGGGGCAGGGUGAGUCGACCCCUAAGGCGAGGCUGAAAAGCGUAGUCGAUGGGAAACAGGUUAAUAUUCCUGUACUUGGUGUUACUGCGAAGGGGGGACGGAGAAGGCUAGGCUGGCCGGGCGACGGUUGUCCCGGUUUAAGCGUGUAGGGGGAGUGACCAGGUAAAUCCGGUUGCUUAUCAACCCUGAGGCGUGAUGACGAUGCACCACGGUGCAGAAGCAGUUGAUGCCAUGCUUCCAGGAAAAGCCUCUAAGCAUCAGGUAACAUUAAAUCGUACCCCAAACCGACACAGGUGGUCAGGUAGAGAAUACUCAGGCGCUUGAGAGAACUCGGGUGAAGGAACUAGGCAAAAUGGUGCCGUAACUUCGGGAGAAGGCACGCUGGCGUUAGGUGAAAGGACUAGCUCCUGGAGCUGAAGCCAGUCGCAGAUACCAGCUGGCUGCAACUGUUUAAUAAAAACACAGCACUGUGCAAACACGAAAGUGGACGUAUACGGUGUGACGCCUGCCCGGUGCUGGAAGGUUAAUUGAUGGGGUCAGCCGCAAGGCGAAGCUCUUGAUCGAAGCCCCAGUAAACGGCGGCCGUAACUAUAACGGUCCUAAGGUAGCGAAAUUCCUUGUCGGGUAAGUUCCGACCUGCACGAAUGGCGUAAUGAUGGCCAGGCUGUCUCCACCCGAGACUCAGUGAAAUUGAACUCGCUGUGAAGAUGCAGUGUACCCGCGGCAAGACGGAAAGACCCCGUGAACCUUUACUAUAGCUUGACACUGAACAUUGAGCCUUGAUGUGUAGGAUAGGUGGGAGGCCUUGAAGUGUGGACGCCAGUCUGCAUGGAGCCAACCUUGAAAUACCACCCUUUAAUGUUUGAUGUUCUAACUCGGCCCCAUGAUCUGGGGUGAGGACAGUGUCUGGUGGGUAGUUUGACUGGGGCGGUCUCCUCCCAAAGAGUAACGGAGGAGCACGAAGGUUAGCUAAUCACGGUCGGACAUCGUGAGGUUAGUGCAAAGGCAUAAGCUAGCUUGACUGCGAGAGUGACGGCUCGAGCAGGUACGAAAGUAGGUCUUAGUGAUCCGGUGGUUCUGAAUGGAAGGGCCAUCGCUCAACGGAUAAAAGGUACUCCGGGGAUAACAGGCUGAUACCGCCCAAGAGUUCAUAUCGACGGCGGUGUUUGGCACCUCGAUGUCGGCUCAUCACAUCCUGGGGCUGAAGUAGGUCCCAAGGGUAUGGCUGUUCGCCAUUUAAAGUGGUACGCGAGCUGGGUUUAGAACGUCGUGAGACAGUUCGGUCCCUAUCUGCCGUGGGCGUUGGAAGAUUGAGAGGGGCUGCUCCUAGUACGAGAGGACCGGAGUGGACGAAUCACUGGUGUUCGGGUUGUCAUGCCAAUGGCAUUGCCCGGUAGCUAAAUUCGGAAGAGAUAACCGCUGAAAGCAUCUAAGCGGGAAACUUGCCUCGAGAUGAGUCUUCCCUGGGGCUUAAAGCCCCCUGAAGGAACGUUAAAGACUAUGACGUUGAUAGGCUGGGUGUGUAAGUGCAGCGAUGUAUUGAGCUAACCAGUACUAAUGAUCCGUGAGGCUUAACCUUACAACACCGAAGGUGUUU
rnacentral:rRNA from 1 species